CAAAAAAAACGUUAAAAAUUCCAUACGUUCAAUGCAAUAUGGGGAAGGUUGACUGAAAUCUUCAAAAAGAACAGCAGGACACGUCCUGUGCGCCACACUGUCUGGAAGACCCCACCUUUGUUGGAGCAAACUAAGAGCAAAUGUACAGAUCGACUACCCUCUCGAGUCGAGAGGUUAGUGGUAUGGACUUCAUAGAGUCAGAGGUGCCAUUCAACAACUAAAAGCUCCCAUCCCGCCGAGCUCUCCAACCGGCUGGAUUCUGAGGGAGAGAUGCUGAGGUAAUGGUUUCCUUAUGGGCUCCUGGCGCAAGAGUGAUGGGCUGACAGAAGGCAUGGGAGCAACAGUCUGCACUGCAGGCAAAUUCUUACUGGUGGCUCCUCCAUUCACAAAGCUAGAGGAGGAGGAUGUUGACGUGUCUGUGGCUCCUGUGAGACAAGACAGGAAUCUCAGAGUCCUGUGCAGCAGGGAGCCAGUGAUAGAUACAUCACAGGAAUGGACUGUCAUCCUGUGAAUCCACAAGCUGUCACAGGACAUCUGAGGAUGGGAAAUCUAUUACGCAGCCAUCAAUCGACUUGUCAGAGAUGAGUGUCCUUCCAUAAGCAAAUACAACAAGCUGAGGGGAAAUGCUGAGGGGCAUGUUCUGAUGAUUUUUUGCUGUAAGGGCAGCUUGGCUCAAUUCUACCUAAAACCAGAUUACUUUCCCUGGUGCUUAAGCAGAUCUGAAUAAGUUGAUGCAGCAGCAAAGAUGUUUGGGGUGCUACCAGAGGCCAAGGCACUGCUGGAGCCAGAACUCCCCACUGUGUUCACCAUCAGAGGCUUCUUGGCCUGUACCACCACACUCCUGUUCGAGAAAGGAACAAGAGGUUGUAGACAAACUCUUUGAGUUUACUUUGGAUUCAAGUGAUUCGAUGGAGCAGGCAAAAUUUCCUCGCAACCUGGGCAAAAUAAGAGCAAUAACCUCAACCUGCAUUUCCGGUAGCUGCAGAUUAGAUCUGCACAGCGUUCAGAAGGAAUUUUGGACCAUUCUUCCAUACAGAACUGCUCAAUGAUGGCAAGUGGUCCAGGCCCAGAAGCAGCACCAGAUCAUGAUGCUCCCUCCACCGUACUUCACCGUUGGGAUGAUAUUUUCAUGAAGAGCUGGCCAGAUCCAGCUCCGUUCCUGCUUGGUGUUGGACUCCACUGCUACGUGUCGCUGAGUGAUGACGACAAACUACAGCUAGCCAGACAUCACUUUGGUCUUUUGACUUCAGAGGAUGAACUGAUGCCAACUCCAACUGUAAGACAUCGGAUACAUCAUAUGCCACUGCCUGAACCUUGGAUUUAGGAUGGACUCCACCGAACCUCACCGAAAUGACCUACCGGUUUUUAUUUUUUUUAUUUUUUUUUUAUUUUAUUUUAAACACUGGACCCUAACGCUUACUUAAUUGACAUAUUUUAAACUCUGACUUAAAUAACUAAUAUUGGCAUUAUAUUCAUGUUGUUUCGCCAGAGGGGAACUGGCCCCCACAGUGAGUCUCCCAAGGUUAUUUUUCUCCAUGAACCAACAUCUUAUGGAGUUUUGUGUUCCUUGCCACAGUCACCUUCAGCUUGCUCACAGGGGUUCUAAAUACAAUUAUUAUUUAUUUAAUUUUUAUACACAAUUUACAAUCAUAUUUAAUCAUACUACUCAAUAAUCACUCUAAGACUUUAUAGAUAUUACAGUUUCAUUUUUUCUUUUUUUUUUUUUUUAAUUCAUGAUUUCCUGUAAAGCUGCUUUGAAACAAUGUGUGUUGUGAAAAGCGCUAUACAAAU